AAUGAACGCUGGCGGCGCGCCUAAUACAUGCAAGUCGAGCGAGAAGACGUAGCAAUACGUUUGUAAAGCGGCGAACGGGUGAGGAAUACAUGGGUAACCUACCCUCGAGUGGGGAAUAACUAGCCGAAAGGUUAGCUAAUACCGCGUACGCUUCUUGGACUUCGGUUCAGGGAGGAAAGCGAUGCCGAGGGUAUCGCGCUCUUGGAUGGGCUCAUGUCCUAUCAGCUUGUUGGGAGGUAACGGCUCACCAAGGCUUCGACGGGUAGCUGGUCUGAGAGGACGAUCAGCCACACUGGCACUGCGACACGGGCCAGACUCCUACGGGAGGCAGCAGUAAGGAAUAUUGCGCAAUGGGCGAAAGCCUGACGCAGCGACGCCGCGGUGGGGGAUGAAGGUCUUCGGAUUGUAAA
rnacentral:rRNA from 1 species